rnacentral:lncRNA from 1 species
AAAUAUUUUCCCCAAUUCUCACAAGUCCACUGUUGUAGGAAACCCUGUAGGAAAAAGUGAAAGCAACUUCCACAACUACCGUUCACUUCUAAACCCUUUGGAAAAAGUGGAAACAAUUUCCACAAAUCUACCGUUCACUUCUAGAAAAUGGAAACAAUUUUCACAUCUCUUUGGCCACUACAUCGACUACUUCUACUAUCUCUAUUCUUUCACCCAUUAAUCUUACUGCUGCAAGCUUCACCCUUUCAGCUGAUUUUACAAUUGUAAGUUCUUAAUUAUUUAAAAUAUUUGUAUUAUAGGAAUCAUACGAUAUCCAUCUUAGAAAGUGCUAUCUCUAUUUUCUUUAAUUUGAUAAUCCUAAGAAAGAAAAAACUGAAUCAAGCCUCCAUAUGAUUAAUUUAGUAAAACCCAUCUCAUGAAAAAGUCUUUGAUCCUAAAUUUAGAUGAUUAUUGUUUAUUUGGAUAGUUUUUUUUUUUUUACUAUUUGUGAUUGCAACAUUAUACAACAACAACAACAACCCAGUAUAAUCUCACUUAGUAGGGUCGGGGAAGGGUAGUAUGUACGCACACCUUACCCCUACCCUUGGCUAGAAAGACUGUUUCCAAAUAGACCCCGGCAUCCUUACCUCCAAGAACUUCCUACCUUGCUAUUGGGGAGACUCGAACUCACAACCUCUCAAUUGUGAUUGCAACAUUAUAUUUGUAAAAUUUUGUACCUUUUGGUGUAAUUAUGCAGUUUAUUCUUUAUUUGGUGUUAUGAUAUUGUAUUUUGUUUAAUUUUCAUUCAUAUGUACUUGUUAAUUUGGUUUUAUUUCGGGAUUAUUAUAUGACGAGUAUAUUCUUUGUAGUUUUUCCUUUACCUUUAAUUCUUUCUAUGUUAUUGAUUUAAUAAAAUUAUAAAUUUGGUUAUUCUGUAUUUUUAAAUUUCUAAAUUUUGCUCAUCUUUUCAAAUUCUGUAUAGUUAUGUAGUUGAUUGUUUGGGUAAAGGUACCAGGUUUUAGCUCUUAAUCUAGUCCAAAAGUAUGGUUUAAGGGGUAUAUACUUGAGAGAGUUGGAGUUACUUGUACAAUAGGUUGGUGGAAUUUAUGUGCAACUUUUUAAACUAAGAACUGCAGUAGCAAUAUGUCGGGCCUUAGGAUUCAUAUAUGGAGAAUUGUAAAAUACUAAUCACAAUUUUGGGCAUGAGGGUUAAUGUAAAGGGUCUUUUUUUAGGUUUUGAGGAUUCACAUACCUACUGGAUUAGCGUAUAUCUUAGGAAAGACCUUAAUCAAUUUUGCUUGACAGCAAAAUUGCAUAAUACCCUUUUGCUUUGUUUGGUCAGAGUUUUCUGAUAUCUCAGAUUUAAGGAACAAUGAAUCUGGUGGGAUGUUUAUUAUUGCAGAUGAGGAAUGCUACCGAACCAUACCACAUAGUUCCGGCAACAACAAAAGCAGCAAAAAAGACAGCAGCGAUGCUACUAUAAAGGAUGGUUUCAAUAUUUCCCAUACGCAAUCCUUUGUAUAGACGUUGUGGUGGACGGACGCUAAGAUGAAAUAGGCCCGCUAAUAUGCCCAAUGUUCCUGCCGUAAUAUGAUGAGAUGCUAUUCCUCAUGGAACAAAAGGAACAAACCCUUCCACGCCCCACGCUGGAUUUUCCGGUUGUACUUUUCCCGUUAGUCCAUAAGGGUCGGACACCCAUAUUCCGGGACUAUACAAGCCUGUUACAUUAAAUGCACCAAACCAAAACAAGCCACCCCUAAGAGAAAUAAAUGAAUUCCAAAGAUCUUUGGCAAAUCCAAAUAAGGUUUUUCCUGUACGUUCAUCACGAAAUAUUUCUAGAUCCCAAUACACCCAAUUCCAGAUAGCUGCCAAAAAGCAUAAGCCAGAAAACACAAUAUGUGCUCCAGCUACACCUUCAAACAACAACAACAACAACCCAGUAUAAUCCCACUUAGUGGGGUCUGGGGAGGAUAGUGUGUACACAGACCUUACCCCUACCCUGGGGGUAG